AGAGCGAACGCUGGCGGCAGGCCUAACACAUGCAAGUCGAGCGCCCCGCAAGGGGAGCGGCAGACGGGAGAGUAACACGUGGGAACGUACCCUUUGGUUCGGAACAACACAGGGAAACUUGUGCUAAUACCGGAUAAGCCCUUACGGGGAAAGAUUUAUUGCCAAAGGAUCGGCCAGCGUCUGAUUAGCUUGUUGGUGAGGUAACGGCUCACCAAGGCUACGAUCAGUAGCUGGUCUGAGAGGAUGAUCAGCCUCACUGGGACUGAGACACGGCCCAGACUCCUACGGGAGGCAGCAGUGGGGAAUAUUGGACAAUGGGCGCAAGCCUGAUCCAGCCAUGCCGCGUGGAUGAUGAAGGCCCUAGGGUUGUAAAGUCCUUUCGACGGGGAAGAUAAUGACGGUACCCGUAGAAGAGCCCGGCUAACUUCGUGCUAGCAGCCGC
rnacentral:rRNA from 1 species